rnacentral:rRNA from 1 species
GACGUAGGGCGCAAGCGUUGUCCGGAUUUAUUGGGCGUAAAGAGCUCGUAGGCGGCUUGUUGCGUCGACCGUGAAAACCCGUGGCUCAACUGCGGGCUUGCGGUCGAUACGGGCGGGCUAGAGUUCGGUAGGGGAGACUGGAAUUCCUGGUGUAGCGGUGAAAUGCGCAGAUAUCAGGAAGAACACCCGUGGCGAAGGCGGCUCUCUGGGACGGUACUGACGCUGAGACGCGAAAGCGUGGGGAGCGAACAGG